AUUGAACGCUGGCGGCAGGCCUAACACAUGCAAGUCGAGCGGGGUUUUCGGACCUAGCGGCGGACGGGUGAGUAAUGCGUAGGAAGCUACCCGAUAGAAGGGGAUACCAGUUGGAAACGACUGUUAAUACCGCAUAAUGUCUACGGACCAAAGUGUGGGACCUUCGGGCCACAUGCUAUCGGAUGCGCCUACGUGGGAUUAGCUAGUUGGUGGGGUAAUGGCUCACCAAGGCGACGAUCCCUAGCUGGUUUGAGAGGAUGAUCAGCCACACUGGAACUGAGACACGGUCCAGACUCCUACGGGAGGCAGCAGUGGGGAAUAUUGGACAAUGGGCGCAAGCCUGAUCCAGCCAUGCCGCGUGUGUGAAGAAGGCCUUCGGGUUGUAAAGCACUAUCAGUAGGGAGGAAGGGUGUUGUGUUAAUAGCACAGCAUUUUGACGUUACCUACAGAAGAAGCACCGGCUAACUCUGUGCCAGCAGCCGCAGUAACAC
rnacentral:rRNA from 1 species